rnacentral:rRNA from 1 species
GACGAACGCUGGCGGCGUGCUUAACACAUGCAAGUCGAACGGAAAGGCCCUGCUUUUGUGGGGUGCUCGAGUGGCGAACGGGUGAGUAAAACGUGAGUAACCUGCCCUUGACUUUGGGAUAACUUCAGGAAACUGGGGCUAAUACCGGAUAGGAGCUCCUGCUGCAUGGUGGGGGUUGGAAAGUUUCGGCGGUUGGGGAUGGACUCGCGGGUUAUCAGCUUGUUGGUGGGGUAGUGGCUUACCAAGGCUUUGACGGGUAGCCGGCAUGAGAGGGUGACCGGCGACAAUGGGACUGCGAUACGGACCAGAAUCCUACGGGAGGCAGCAGUGGGGAAUAUUGCACAAUGGGGGGAAGCCUGAUGCAGCAACGCCGCGUGCGGGAUGACGGCCUACGGGUUGUAAACCGCUUUCGCCUGUGACGAAGCGUGAGUGACGGUAAUGGGUAAAGAAGCACCGGCUAACUACGUG